rnacentral:lncRNA from 1 species
AAAAGACAAACAGUUCCAACAUUGACAAUUAUUGCAUCCUAAUAAAUAGAGUAGAGUUUAUUCACGAUCAGGAAAUAGGAGAAGCAUCUGAAGGCUUGCUACGCAGGAGAGAUGAUGCUGGACGAUAGAGAUAGGAAUAAUGGGCUUACUUUAUUGGCCAGCAUCAUACUCCUGCAUAUUAAGCCUCAAAUGAUGCUAACAAAACUAAGUUAAUUACCAUGAUGGUUUAUAGAUAGUUGAGACAGAGAUCAUUUAUCUGUUUUGUUCAUAGACUAUAGUUUGCAGUUAAUUCACAUAGUUCAGCUAACAAUGUUAAUUGUUAGUUAACAGGUUCUUUCUAUUUUGGAUGCAGAUGACAGACUUGGAUCGACACUUCGCCGAACAUGGGUAUUGAAAAGCUUAACAAUUUGUAGGUUCCCAAUUGUAAAGUGAUUUCUGCUCUACUUUGUCUGAUGAAUGGGCUCUUCUAUUUUUUUUUUUUUUUUUUUUUUUUUUUUUUUUUUUUUUUCAUAAAAGCUCAUGUUAAGUAUUGCUGCUUUGCAGAAUGAUUUGAUUCAUCAAAUGACAAUUGUAUGAAAAGCAAACGACCUGGACCUCCAAAGGACGUCGGCAGCUGGUAGAGAAGUUCAUUUUUUCCUCUUCAAAACACAAGAAAAUGCGGACCUAGAUCUCUAAAGGACUAGAAUACAAAACACAUAAGCUUCAAAUCCUAACUCCGUCUUUACGGUCAGAGUAGAACUGGGCAGAGAGUUUCAAGUAUAAGGUGAGGUUGAUUCAUCUAAGAAAAGAGUUUCAACAACAUAAAUAUCACAAGCCAACUAUAAAUAAGCAAGCAAGAAGGAUAAACCAGAGAAGGCGCAAAAUAGGCAAACAUACUUGGUAUCUCAAGGAAUAUUGUGUAAGAAGAUAUAAGGAAAUAGGAACUAUCAUAUCCAACCACAGCUGCAGAAUUUGUUAUUUUCCUUUUGCAAGUGUAACUGAUCAUCAUCAUUUCUUUCUUUUUUGGAUUUCAGCAAGUUCAGUUCCAAGUUUCUAUGGCUUCUGUCCUGAAGCAUAUUAUCAAAUUGUUUAGGACAGUGAAGUAUAUGGAAGUUCAGAUGAAGGCACUGAGAACAGAGGAUUCUACUGACAAUGCAUCCCCUGAGCAAAAAAUAAAGAUAGUUCAAGAAAAUUUAAUCAAGUCAGAAGCAUGUCAAUUUGGGUUUGAUUUGAAUUUAUCCCAUCCAAUUGCAAGAAGUGAUUCCUCAUGUGAAACAUUUAUUUGUUUAGUUCAUUAAAAAAAUAUGAAAUUAUUGUGUCCAAACACACAUGUAUGUAUAUAUAAUCGUACAAGUAAUAUAAGAUUUUUAUGUUCGGAUAUAGUAUCCACAGGGACUUGUCGAUAAACUAUUUUACUAAAUUAGACUAAGGCC